AUUGAACGCUGGCGGCAGGCCUAACACAUGCAAGUCGAACGGUAGCACAGAGAGCUUGCUCUCGGGUGACGAGUGGCGGACGGGUGAGUAAUGUCUGGGAAACUGCCCGAUGGAGGGGGAUAACUACUGGAAAUGGUAGCUAAUACCGCAUAACGUCGCAAGACCAAAGUGGGGGACCUUCGGGCCUCACACCAUCGGAUGUGCCCAGAUGGGAUUAGCUAGUAGGUGGGGUAAUGGCUCACCUAGGCGACGAUCCCUAGCUGGUCUGAGAGGAUGACCAGCCACACUGGAACUGAGACACGGUCCAGACGCCUACGGGAGGCAGCAGUGGGGAAUAUUGCACAAUGGGCGCAAGCCUGAUGCAGCCAUGUCGCGUGUAUGAAGAAGGCCUUCGGGUUGUAAAGUACUUUCAGCGGGGAGGAAGGCGGUGAAGUUAAUAACUUCACCGAUUGACGUUACCCGCAGAAGAAGCACCGGCUAACUCCGUGCCAGCCGCCGCGGUAA
rnacentral:rRNA from 1 species